CUCAGUACUCCCUUCCCAGAAGCAACCACUGUUCACGUGUCUUGAAAUAUUAUCUGCAUUUACGAGGCUGUAUUUAUGUUUGUAGAUCCUUUUGUAAAAUAGAGUUCAUGCUAUAAAUCUUUUUGUUAGCUGCAAUAGACUCUUUUAUCUAUGCAGUUGGGGGAGUAGUUGGUCAGUUAAUUAAAAGUCCGUUAAAGAAGUGCCUGGAUCUACCAGGGAGAGGUGUUCCUGGGCAUCCAGUGUCGGUGCAUUUUACAGAGGAAAUGGAAUGGAAACUCCUGAGAGUUGGCUCCACAGAGGCCUGAACUCCUCACGGGAUAGCUUCCUGUUUCCUGAGAGUCGUUACCUGAUAAGCUGCCAGAAUGAAAGUUUUCGAGCUGAUAAGAGAGCUGAUCAUCCUCACCUCUGUGUUUUCAGCCUGUUCCGGACAAAAUCCAGUGACUGUACUGUGCUCCACAGACUGGUUCAUGGUCACGGUACACCCCUUCAUGUUGAACAACGAAGUGUAUGUCCACUUCCAUGAGUUAUACUUGGGCCUGGGUUGCCCUGCCAACCAUGUUCAGCCACAUGCCUACCAAUUCACCUACCGUGUGACAGAAUGUGGUAUCAGGGCCAAGGCUGUCUCUCAGGACAUGGUUCUCUACAGCUCCGAGAUAUACUACAUUUCCAAGCAUACCUCAUCUAAGUAUGUGAUUCCAGUGUCAUGUACUGCCCCGCUAUGUUCCCCAUGGCUCACGACGUCCUGCUCCAGGAACUUAGCCCCCAACGGAGGGGUCACAACCCGGAAUGGCGAGACAUGCUAUGAAGUGUUCACCUUGUCACAGUCCAGCCAAAGGCCCAACUGCUAUUGUCUGUCUUGUGUCUACAAUGAAAGAGGGCAGAGUCGAGCCCCACGUCACUAAGUAGACAAAUAGAAGCUCUUAUGACCCUCCUAUGUGUGUUUUUGAGGAAAAACAACUCAUGGUGAUUUCAUGAAUAAGCUUUUAAAAAAAAUUCUUUUUGUAUAUUUUUAGGGAAAAAUAAAAUCCUGCUGGCAUAG
rnacentral:lncRNA from 1 species